rnacentral:siRNA from 1 species
UCAAAAGCUCGAGAGUUGGUGGAU